UUAAGCGACUAAGCGUACACGGUGGAUGCCCUGGCAGUCAGAGGCGAUGAAGGACGUGCUAAUCUGCGAUAAGCGUCGGUAAGGUGAUAUGAACCGUUAUAACCGGCGAUUUCCGAAUGGGGAAACCCAGUGUGAUUCGUCACACUAUCAUUAACUGAAUCCAUAGGUUAAUGAGGCGAACCGGGGGAACUGAAACAUCUAAGUACCCCGAGGAAAAGAAAUCAACCGAGAUUCCCCCAGUAGCGGCGAGCGAACGGGGAGGAGCCCAGAGCCUGAAUCAGUGUGUGUGUUAGUGGAAGCGUCUGGAAAGGCGCGCGAUACAGGGUGACAGCCCCGUACACAAAAAUGCACAUGCUGUGAGCUCGAUGAGUAGGGCGGGACACGUGGUAUCCUGUCUGAAUAUGGGGGGACCAUCCUCCAAGGCUAAAUACUCCUGACUGACCGAUAGUGAACCAGUACCGUGAGGGAAAGGCGAAAAGAACCCCGGCGAGGGGAGUGAAAAAGAACCUGAAACCGUGUACGUACAAGCAGUGGGAGCCUCUUUAUGGGGUGACUGCGUACCUUUUGUAUAAUGGGUCAGCGACUUAUAUUCUGUAGCAAGGUUAACCGAAUAGGGGAGCCGAAGGGAAACCGAGUCUUAACUGGGCGUUAAGUUGCAGGGUAUAGACCCGAAACCCGGUGAUCUAGCCAUGGGCAGGUUGAAGGUUGGGUAACACUAACUGGAGGACCGAACCGACUAAUGUUGAAAAAUUAGCGGAUGACUUGUGGCUGGGGGUGAAAGGCCAAUCAAACCGGGAGAUAGCUGGUUCUCCCCGAAAGCUAUUUAGGUAGCGCCUCGUGAAUUCAUCUCCGGGGGUAGAGCACUGUUUCGGCAAGGGGGUCAUCCCGACUUACCAACCCGAUGCAAACUGCGAAUACCGGAGAAUGUUAUCACGGGAGACACACGGCGGGUGCUAACGUCCGUCGUGAAGAGGGAAACAACCCAGACCGCCAGCUAAGGUCCCAAAGUCAUGGUUAAGUGGGAAACGAUGUGGGAAGGCCCAGACAGCCAGGAUGUUGGCUUAGAAGCAGCCAUCAUUUAAAGAAAGCGUAAUAGCUCACUGGUCGAGUCGGCCUGCGCGGAAGAUGUAACGGGGCUAAACCAUGCACCGAAGCUGCGGCAGCGACGCUUAUGCGUUGUUGGGUAGGGGAGCGUUCUGUAAGCCUGCGAAGGUGUACUGUGAGGUAUGCUGGAGGUAUCAGAAGUGCGAAUGCUGACAUAAGUAACGAUAAAGCGGGUGAAAAGCCCGCUCGCCGGAAGACCAAGGGUUCCUGUCCAACGUUAAUCGGGGCAGGGUGAGUCGACCCCUAAGGCGAGGCCGAAAGGCGUAGUCGAUGGGAAACAGGUUAAUAUUCCUGUACUUGGUGUUACUGCGAAGGGGGGACGGAGAAGGCUAUGUUGGCCGGGCGACGGUUGUCCCGGUUUAAGCGUGUAGGCUGGUUUUCCAGGCAAAUCCGGAAAAUCAAGGCUGAGGCGUGAUGACGAGGCACUACGGUGCUGAAGCAACAAAUGCCCUGCUUCCAGGAAAAGCCUCUAAGCAUCAGGUAACAUCAAAUCGUACCCCAAACCGACACAGGUGGUCAGGUAGAGAAUACCAAGGCGCUUGAGAGAACUCGGGUGAAGGAACUAGGCAAAAUGGUGCCGUAACUUCGGGAGAAGGCACGCUGAUACGUAGGUGAAGUCCCUCGCGGAUGGAGCUGAAAUCAGUCGAAGAUACCAGCUGGCUGCAACUGUUUAUUAAAAACACAGCACUGUGCAAACACGAAAGUGGACGUAUACGGUGUGACGCCUGCCCGGUGCCGGAAGGUUAAUUGAUGGGGUUAGCGGUAACGCGAAGCUCUUGAUCGAAGCCCCGGUAAACGGCGGCCGUAACUAUAACGGUCCUAAGGUAGCGAAAUUCCUUGUCGGGUAAGUUCCGACCUGCACGAAUGGCGUAAUGAUGGCCAGGCUGUCUCCACCCGAGACUCAGUGAAAUUGAACUCGCUGUGAAGAUGCAGUGUACCCGCGGCAAGACGGAAAGACCCCGUGAACCUUUACUAUAGCUUGACACUGAACAUUGAGCCUUGAUGUGUAGGAUAGGUGGGAGGCUUUGAAGUGUGGACGCCAGUCUGCAUGGAGCCGACCUUGAAAUACCACCCUUUAAUGUUUGAUGUUCUAACGUUGGCCCCUAAUCGGGGUUGCGGACAGUGUCUGGUGGGUAGUUUGACUGGGGCGGUCUCCUCCUAAAGAGUAACGGAGGAGCACGAAGGUUGGCUAAUCCUGGUCGGACAUCAGGAGGUUAGUGCAAUGGCAUAAGCCAGCUUGACUGCGAGCGUGACGGCGCGAGCAGGUGCGAAAGCAGGUCAUAGUGAUCCGGUGGUUCUGAAUGGAAGGGCCAUCGCUCAACGGAUAAAAGGUACUCCGGGGAUAACAGGCUGAUACCGCCCAAGAGUUCAUAUCGACGGCGGUGUUUGGCACCUCGAUGUCGGCUCAUCACAUCCUGGGGCUGAAGUAGGUCCCAAGGGUAUGGCUGUUCGCCAUUUAAAGUGGUACGCGAGCUGGGUUUAGAACGUCGUGAGACAGUUCGGUCCCUAUCUGCCGUGGGCGCUGGAGAACUGAGGGGGGCUGCUCCUAGUACGAGAGGACCGGAGUGGACGCAUCACUGGUGUUCGGGUUGUCAUGCCAAUGGCACUGCCCGGUAGCUAAAUGCGGAAGAGAUAAGUGCUGAAAGCAUCUAAGCACGAAACUUGCCCCGAGAUGAGUUCUCCCUGACUCCUUGAGAGUCCUGAAGGAACGUUGAAGACGACGACGUUGAUAGGCCGGGUGUGUAAGCGCAGCGAUGCGUUGAGCUAACCGGUACUAAUGAACCGUGAGGCUUAACCUU
rnacentral:rRNA from 1 species